rnacentral:rRNA from 1 species
AGAGCUAAUACAUGAACAAGUGUUCCAACCUCAGCUUGCUGACGGAAGGAUCGCAUUUAUUAGUACAAGACCAAUGAUUCUUAUUCACCUAGAACCCUGUUCAGUGAUUUCGGUCGCUGUCUAAGGACUAGCAGUGGGGAUCUUAGCAACUUCGGUUGCAUUUCUUGUGAUGACUCUGAAUAACUGAGCAAAUCGUAUGGCCUCUGAGCCGACGAUGUAUCCCUCAAGCAACUGCCUUAUCAACUGUCGAUGGUAGGUUAUGCGCCUACCAUGGUUGUAACGGGUAACGGGGAAUUAGGGUUCGAUUCCGGAGAGGGAGCCUGAGAAACGGCUACCACAUCUAAGGAAGGCAGCAGGCGCGCAAAUUACACAAUCCCAGUACGGGGAUGUAGUGACGAAAAAUAACAAUACGGGACUCUAUUGAGGCCCCGUAAUUGGAAUGAGUACAAUUUAAAUCCUUUAACGAGGAUCUAUUGGAGGGCAAGUCUGGUGCCAGCAGCCGCGGUAAUUCCAGCUCCAAUAGCGUAUAUUAAAGUUGCUGCGGUUAAAAAGCUCGUAGUUGGAUUUCAGUCGAACCUAUGGGGUCCACUGAUUAAAGGGUUAGAUGGUGAUGUUAGGUUUCUUGCUUGUGUCUACGGAUGCUUGCUUGAACCUUCAUUCCUCUUUCCUGGUGGUUACAUUCAUAGUGUUUAGACAGAAAAUUGCUCGAUAUUUGCUAUCAAUGCUCUUUACCGAGUGUUGAUUCAAGCGAUCGAGACUUUUACCUUGAAAAAAUCAGAGUGCUCAAAGCAGGCGUCCAAAACCUCGAAAGAGGUGCCUAAAAACGGUAUGGUCAACCAUCUAUAUGAUGCGUACCACUACCUUAACUUGAAUGAUCUUGCAUGGAAUAAUGGAAUAGGACCUUGGUUCUAUUUUGUUGGUCUUAAGAAUCCAAGGUAAUGAUUAAGAGGGACAGACGGGGGCAUUUGUAUUGCGGCGCUAGAGGUGAAAUUCUUGGACCGUCGCAAGACAAACUACAGCGAAAGCAUUUGCCAAGAAUGUUUUCAUUAAUCAAGAACGAAAGUUAGAGGUUCGAAGGCGAUCAGAUACCGCCCUAGUUCUAACCAUAAACGAUGCCAACCAGCGAUCAUUCUGAGUAACUAAUUUCAUGACUCGAAUGGAAGCUUCCGGGAAACCAAAGUUUUUGGGUUCCGGGGGAAGUAUGGUUGCAAAGCUGAAACUUAAAGGAAUUGACGGAAGGGCACCACCAGGAGUGGAGCUUGCGGCUUAAUUUGACUCAACACGGGAAAACUCACCCGGCCCGGACACUGAGAGGAUUGACAGAUUGAGAGCUCUUUCUUGAUUCAGUGGGUGGUGGUGCAUGGCCGUUCUUAGUUGGUGGAGUGAUUUGUCUGGUUAAUUCCGAUAACGAACGAGACUCUAGCCUACUAAAUAGACUUGCAGUUUACACUGCAGUACUCCCCCUUAGUCAACCUGUGGGUGGUAGUAUCUCUUGAUGGUUUCGGCUGUUGAGGGCUCUGCUGCUAUUAGCCUACAGAAUUGGCUAGGGUAAGGAUGCUGUAGCACUGUAAGGACUUCUUAGAGGGACAAGCGGCGCUCGCAGCCGCACGAAACAGAGCAAUAACAGGUCUGUGAUGCCCUUAGAUGUCCGGGGCCGCACGCGUGCUACACUGAAGUGGUCAUCGUGCAUACUGUUUCCUGCUCCGAAAGGAGUGGGUAACCGCUUGAACCCAUUUCGUGAUGGGGAUUGGGCAUUGUAAUUAUUGCCCAUG